GUUGGUGCUCUAACAAUGGCACUGACCUUUCCAUAGUAAUUAGUAAGUGUUAUUUUGUUGGGGUAGUUUAA
rnacentral:pre_miRNA from 1 species